rnacentral:lncRNA from 1 species
UGCCUCAUCCAUUGAGACUUUAAAGCAUCAUCAGGGGAGAGCUCCCCGAUUGCUGAUGAUUACGAAACCAUAGCUGACCAAACACAGCUGAACACAGUGGAGGGUGUGAGCCUGGCCUCUGAGGAGCUGAAAUCAGGUGAGCACCUGCCAGGGGAAGAGGCCACAGAGCUGACUCCGGCCUUGGAGCCAAAGAUUGACUCGGUCCCUGAGAGAGAGGAGCCGGAGGGUACUGAGCCACCACGUGUAGCACCGGAGCAGAGCCCAGAGCUGCCAUCUGUGUGGCGAGAGGAAAGCACCAAGACUUCACCACCGGCACUGAGAGACAAUGGUGGGCCACCAGGACCAGCAGAGGACAGUGGGUUGGAGGAAGGCAGUGACAGCUUUGUGGUGGAAAUCAUCAAGAAAGUGCAUAUUGCUGAAGAGGACCAAUUCAUUGAGGGUAAUAUUUGUGCUUUUGUCAAUUCAGGAGACCAGAUUCUGUCUCCAGAGACUUG